AUUGAACGCUGGCGGCAGGCUUAACACAUGCAAGUCGAGCGGGGAAAGGUAGCUUGCUACCUGACCUAGCGGCGGACGGGUGAGUAAUGCUUAGGAAUCUGCCUAUUAGUGGGGGACAACAUCUCGAAAGGGAUGCUAAUACCGCAUACGUCCUACGGGAGAAAGCAGGGGACCUUCGGGCCUUGCGCUAAUAGAUGAGCCUAAGUCGGAUUAGCUAGUUGGUGGGGUAAAGGCCUACCAAGGCGACGAUCUGUAGCGGGUCUGAGAGGAUGAUCCGCCACACUGGGACUGAGACACGGCCCAGACUCCUACGGGAGGCAGCAGUGGGGAAUAUUGGACAAUGGGGGGAACCCUGAUCCAGCCAUGCCGCGUGUGGGAAGAAGGCCUUUUGGUUGUAAAGCACUUUAAGCGAGGAGGAGGCUACCGAGAUUAAUACUCUUGGAUAGUGGACGUUACUCGCAGAAUAAGCACCGGCUAACUCUGUG
rnacentral:rRNA from 1 species